CAAGUCGUAGUGAACUGCGGAAGGAUCAUUG
rnacentral:rRNA from 1 species